rnacentral:ncRNA from 1 species
AUUUGAACGCAGAUAAGGAUCAGUAGAGAAUAAUUACUCUUACAGAGAGCAUGUGUUAGCUGAAAGCAUGUAGGUAGUUAUUUUUGAACUCACCUUUGAGUUUCCUAGUGAAAAAAUAGUAGGUAGGGACGGUACUUCUCGUUACGAAGUUGAGUGCUAACUUGAGCUCAAGUUAGAAGUAUGGGUGGUACCGCGGUUUUUUCGUCCUAUAU